ensembl:lncRNA
UGUUGAGUAAGAAGGGAUUAUUAAGUCACAAUACAAUUAGCUAAAAUGUAGUAUAACGUUAUGCUCCAAUGUAUCGUCGCGUUAGCAAAAGACGAAUGUGUUGCGCAAUGCAUUAUUUAUACUAAGGACAGGUUGGACCUAGCUAACGGCAGUAUUUUUUUGAGCCUAGCAAACUAGCGUCGUUAUAUGUACUGUAGCUAGUAACACUAGCAUCCUUUUUGUUGGCUGGUACUAGCUGCCGUUUAUGUUGGCAGGAGCAUGGCUUUGUGUAGCUCCGGGAGAUAGGGGGCAAGUCUUCACUAACAUUUGGGUACCUGAAGUUGUAGGGGUGUUUGUGCCAGAAGUGUGGUAGGAACAAAUGUUGGAUGACUUCUCUUUGGCUACUAUUGGAAAAUCUACAUUAAACUGACAUUUCCCUUAUCAUGACCAUAAGAGAGUCUGCUUAAAAUUUAAGGUGCAGGAGACUGACAUGGGAAGUAAAAUGUCCUUCAGUAGAAGAGUCAAUGAUAAGGAAACAGAGUCAUCAUUAUCUGCCUCCCACAACAACCCUCCUGAACCCUUGCAUGCCCUGACUACCGACAAACAGGUAACUACAACAGGAUCUCCAUUGCCUCUAUCAUAAUGUGUGCUUCUUC